CGGCGGACGGGUGAGUAACGCGUGGGUAACCUGCCUCAUACAGGGGGAUAACAGUCAGAAAUGACUGCUAAUACCGCAUAAGACCACAGCACCGCAUGGUGCAGGGGUAAAAACUCCGGUGGUAUGAGAUGGACCCGCGUCUGAUUAGGUAGUUGGUGGGGUAACGGCCUACCAAGCCGACGAUCAGUAGCCGACCUGAGAGGGUGACCGGCCACAUUGGGACUGAGACACGGCCCAA
rnacentral:rRNA from 1 species